rnacentral:RNase_P_RNA from 1 species
CGAGUAAGUCAGAUGGUCGCGGGGGUCCAUUAGGGCCAACGAGGAAAGUCCGAGCUCCAUAGGGCAAAGGUGCCGGGUAAUACCCGGUGGAGGCGACUCCAAGGAUAGUGCAACAGAAAUAAACCGCCCAGCACUUAACUAAGCAUAGCAGUACAGCUAAUCUUCAUUAAUCCGACGUUUCGGGAUAUUGAAAAACGGAUUGCUGUGUUCGGUUAAGUGCUGGGCAAGGGUGGAAAGGUGAGGUAAGAGCUCACCAGCGUGCUGGCGACUGCACGGCUCUGUAAACCCCACCUGGAGCAAGACCAAGCAGGGACGAGAAAGCGGCGGCCCGUCGUGUCCCGUGGUAGGUUGCUUGAGCCUGCUGGUAACAUCAGGCCUAGAUAGAUGACCAUCCAAUACAGAACUCGGCUUAUAGACUUAGUCGCUGA